GUGACAUGUUUUCAGUUCUGUGCAAGGAACCACCAUCACACCAUGGGAUACACAAAGGCUAGGGAAGACGUCAAUGUCAACAGCAGAAGGAAAAUUACUCUGCAGGCCCU